ensembl:lncRNA
UCAUAUUGCUUUUCCAAUAUUCUACUCCAUCUCAACACAUUUCAUUCUCAAACAGGUGACCAAUGUAAUACAAUGAUACAAUAUAUCUAUAAUAAUCUCAGUAGCAUUGGGAACAUCAUGGUUUCUGACACAUGGAGAAGCCAUUUUAGUGAACAGUAAACUUGACCUAGUUGAGGGAGAGCGAUUGGACCCGAAGAGAAGGGGGUGGGUUCUGGGAGCUAAAGAGUCCCCUGAUUCUUUUUGCACCCCACCCCCUGGUUAAGGUUAGGAUUUGGGGAGGGUAAACCGAUCCAAAAUCUGUGCUUUAAGGUAACAUUAACCCAGUAUGGUGGUUGGCAGUUGGGCUGGGUUGUUGUUUCUCAUAACCUGACCUUUCACCUCUAACCUUGGCCUGUGGAGUGAGAAGUCACUUCCCUCUACUGAUCACGCAUGAGCUCAUCUCCCUGGAACCCCCCACGUCACUGAGGUCACAAACCCUCUGACACCUCACAUCUGCUGGAGCACUCAAAGCAUUAAGGUCAGGUGGUCACUGCACACCUUAUAGUGAAAAAUAGACAAAGACUGAAAGACAGAGAGAUACUGUGGGAGGGGAAAGAAAGAAGGAAAGAUAAAGACCACUCACCUUCUAAAUGACAAAAUAUUAUACUUUAUGUCAUAUCAAGCCUCUAAAUCCCAGUUAGGGAGUUUCUAUAAAGGAGUCUGGUAGGAGCAUACUUUCUCUCUUAGUCAGAUCUUUGAUAAAUAAAAGGUUAAGUGAUUUACUUUAACAAGGUGAUUCAGACAAAAAAAGAGAGAGUAAUAGAUGACUCAGUCAAAGCAGGUGCAUCCAGAUAAAGUCUCCAAUAAAACAGAGUUUCAGUCACUCCAUUCCCAUGCUUACAGUAAAAAGACAAAUGGGAGUUUAUCAUCUUAACUGAUGAGCAAGUACAUAAGCUAUGUUUAGAAGUGGUAAGUGGCACAAUUCAUGGCUAGAUAGUUGUGGACCACUGAGACUUAAGCUAGCCCAGUAGCACGAUCAGACUUCCUGUCGGACAACGGAACAGGGAGGGACAUGUGAAAUAUGGGAGAGAGGGGGCUUAAACACUGCUCCAUCACACAUGUGAAACACUCCUUGUUAUGGGUUCUCUAGUUGUUGUCUCACACUACUAUCCCUCAAGCAUGAACACACACACAGAUGCACACACACAUGUCCAUGAACGCGUGCAGAGAGAGAGAGACACACACACAGUCUUGCACAGCUAACCUUGUUGGGACAUACAAUUCAGUCCCAUUCAAAAUCCUAUUUUCCUUAACCCCUAACCCUAAGCUCAACCCAAAGCUUAACCCAAAAACCUAACCUUGAUCCUAAACCUAACCCUAGCUCCUAACACUAACCACAAAACCAACCCUAGCUCCUAACCCUAACCCUAAACCUAAACCUAAUUCUAACCUUAACCCCCUAGAAAUAGCAUUUGACCUUGUAGGGGCCAACAAAAUGUCCCCAGUUGGUCAAAGUUUUGUUUGUUUACUAUUCUUGUGUGGACUUCUGAUCCCCACAAUUAUAGUCAAACACGUCCACACACUUCCAUACACACACGUCCACACACAUGUCCACACACAUGUCC